rnacentral:rRNA from 1 species
AGACCCGAAACCCGGUGAUCUAGCCAUGGGCAGGUUGAAGGUUGGGUAACACUAACUGGAGGACCGAACCGACUAAUGUUGAAAAAUUAGCGGAUGACCUGUGGCUGGGGGUGAAAGGCCAAUCAAACCGGGAGAUAGCUGGUUCUCCCCGAAAGCUAUUUAGGUAGCGCCUCGUGAAUUCAUCUCCGGGGGUAGAGCACUGUUUCGGCUAGGGGGCCAUCCCGGCUUACCAACCCGAUGCAAACUGCGAAUACCGGAGAAUGUUAUCACGGGAGACACACGGCGGGUGCUAACGUCCGUCGUGAAGAGGGAAACAACCCAGACCGCCAGCUAAGGUCCCAAAGUCAUGGUUAAGUGGGAAACGAUGUGGGAAGGCCCAGACAGCCAGGAUGUUGGCUUAGAAGCAGCCAUCAUUUAAAGAAAGCGUAAUAGCUCACUGGUCGAGUCGGCCUGCGCGGAAGAUGUAACGGGGCUAAACCAUGCACCGAAGCUGCGGCAGCGACGCUUAUGCGUUGUUGGGUAGGGGAGCGUUCUGUAAGCCUGUGAAGGUGGCCUGUGAGGGUUGCUGGAGGUAUCAGAAGUGCGAAUGCUGACAUAAGUAACGAUAAAGCGGGUGAAAAGCCCGCUCGCCGGAAGACCAAGGGUUCCUGUCCAACGUUAAUCGGGGCAGGGUGAGUCGACCCCUAAGGCGAGGCCGAAAGGCGUAGUCGAUGGGAAACGGGUUAAUAUUCCCGUACUUGGUGUUACUGCGAAGGGGGGACGGAGAAGGCUAUGUUGGCCGGGCGACGGUUGUCCCGGUUUAAGCGUGUAGGCUGGUUUUCCAGGCAAAUCCGGAAAAUCAAGGCUGAGGCGUGACGACGAGGCACUACGGUGCUGAAGCAACAAAUGCCCUGCUUCCAGGAAAAGCCUCUAAGCAUCAGGUAACAUCAAAUCGUACCCCAAACCGACACAGGUGGUCAGGUAGAGAAUACCAAGGCGCUUGAGAGAACUCGGGUGAAGGAACUAGGCAAAAUGGUGCCGUAACUUCGGG